rnacentral:lncRNA from 1 species
UCGGCCUGCCGCCGCCACGGGGGCCUCUGACACUGCGCGCCAGGCCAGGUUCCGGAAGGCAGCCUGCGCGGGCGGGGAGCGCGGGCCCGGGAGGCCCCCGCGCGCCGGGCUGCCUGCAGCAGGGGGCUCGCACGAACGUCUUCCCCCGCCAACCUCCCAGCGCUGGGGUGCGGGCUAGGACGGGGUGGGGGGACAGUGGCGCCCAGCGCGGAACAGCGCAGGAGCCGGGCGCAACGCCGCACGCGGGGACCCAGGUUGCUGGGGCUCUGUCUCUGUGUGAGCCAGCCUGCGGGAAGCCUCGUCUGGCAGAAGGUGACCCAGAGAAAGGAAUUCUAACGCUUCUCUCAGAGGUCAGCCGACUGUUUCUGUAACGGGGCACAGAGGGGGUGUCUGGGGGUCUGUGUCACCGGGACUGAAGCCUGCCGUAGCAAUGCUGAGGCAGCCAGAGACGACUCGUAAGCAAACGGGCGCGCGGGGCUCCCUCAGAGCCCUGUUCGCAGCGCAGGUGGGCCUCGGCCGCCCCCUGCUCUGUGUGGGCCCUUGGCAGUCCCUCACCUGGAUGCCAGCCCAUCCUCAGCUGCAGCCCGUGCCAUGAAAUAUGUCUGUCCCGCCGGUGCCUGACUCUGGGCAGAGUUUCUCAGGGGCAAGACCCCACACCCCGCGCUCAGCCCCAGCCUGCAGGCUCGUCUUGCGCCGUCUUCCCGCCUUUCUCCCAUUUCACAGGCACAUAAACUGAGGCUCCAGCAGCCUGCCUCUUGUUCAGAGCCAGGCCAUGCGUAAGCGAGGGGGCUGGAAUCCAAGCCGGGGCUGCACCGUGGUGACCCCCGCCCCCAUCCCAGCGCACCUCUGCCUGGGCGCCCGCCCCCUCCCCGUGGCCCCAACCCCUCUGUCCACCUCCACUUCCUGUGGCCACUCAGGGAAUUUGCAUCUGGGGCCAAAGCAUGAGCGUCAGUGACUCCCGAGGCCCCCGUUCACUCUGGGACCCCCAAUAUUGUCGUGCACAGGAUACCUUCCAGCCAGCAACAGCCGGGGCCGAGGAGUUCGGGCUGGGGGGAGGGGAUAAUGAGGGCCCGUGAGACCCAGUGGCAGGUGCUAGGUCCUCUGCAAAGUGGGAUGAGCCGAGUCCUAACUGCCUUGUGGCUGUCUUUGCCGUGCACAAGCCCUGUGCGCAGAAUGUCCUGGAAAGCCCCCUUCGCGGUGGCUCCAUUGCCCUGUCCUAGGGGACAGGGCUGAGGCCCAGAGACACUGAGUCACCAUCUCAUGUUGCAGAGCCGAGUUCCAGGCCGCCACACGCACUGCCUUUGGUCACUCUGCUGGGCUGGAUAGUGUCCCCCAAACUCACGUCCUACCCAGACGCAGGACCUUUGGAAA